AUUUGCAGUUAAAAUACCGAUGUUUUAGGUAAAACCUAUAGAAUGUCAAGUUCUUUUUUCAACUACGAACUUAUGUUACAACCUAACAUCUGUGUAAUUAUGAUUUUUAUUUGAGGUAGGCUGCGAUCUUUAGUUUUACUAAUACGUAACACUGAUACUGAUACAGAUACUUGACAUGUCAAAUAUAAUUAAAUGGAUUUUAGAGUCAGAUUCUGGACGAAAUGGAAAUUUGAAAAUUUGAUUAUCUUAUGCUAUUUGGAAAGAAUCAGUCUAUAUGUUGGAUUACUAGAUUCACUCUGUUGUCUGCCUAGUUUUAACAAUGCAACCUAAUAAUAAAAAGUACUAUAUUUUAAAAAAGAAAUUGUUAAUAAGUAUGGAAGUAACAGUUUUGAUGUCGAAUAACAUAUAUUAAUAAAUAAUCGACACUUGAAAAUCAUCCAGGAACUUGGUCAAAAUGCGAUCGUCGAUGUGAUCAAACACAUCUAUACAACUACUAUCAUAUUUAGGUCGUAUUAUCCACUUACGAUUCACUCCGUCAUAUACCCGGUCGUUUUAACUUAUACUUAACGUCUAUUGUCGGUUUAAUGAGAAAAUUGUCACAAUGGCACAAUUGUGAUGUGUGCAAUCGUAUCGAGCCUCUCCGAGCUUUUGACUCUUUCCAGAUGAACUAUAACAGUAACUGGGGCCGGUCUUCCGUGAUAUCAUUACGACCUUCUACUUUGAGUAUUGUAUUUUUUAAAUAACUUCUCACCUACAGUGUGAAUAAAAACUACUUUAUUUUUUGAAGUGUAUCGCGUGUGUAAAAACUACCUAAGUUCGUUGGUCACAAAUGCAUGUACCUACUGGGAAACAACAAAAUUUUCUUCGCACAACAUCGUGUUCGAUAAACUAAUUUUAUUGUAACAUACAAACAAAAUUAUCAAAUACAAGAAUUACGGAUUAACUUUGUGGUUCGAAGCGCCGGACGGCGUUAGAAGGAUAGCAAAAUUCCAUUUUGCAACAAAAUGACCGCGAUUGACACCAUGGAGGACGGCCAACCGAAUUGGUCACAGGAUAUGCCAACGGUACAGGAAGUCAGCGGCAUGAUGCGAAAUUUUGGUAUAUGGGAUUACGCGGUGUUUGUGAUCAUGUUAAUUGCCUGUGGUUUCGUCGGUAUUUAUUUUGGUUUCAUCAAAAAAUCGUCGGGAGUGGACGAAUAUCUCGUGGGUGGUAGAAAUCUCAAGAUGUUCCCUGUCAGCUUGAGCCUCUUAGCCAGUUUUAUAUCGGGUAUUUCAUUAUUGGGUAUACCAACGGAGGUUUACGUGCACGGUACCAGCUACCUGUGUAUAGGUUUUGCAGUCAUCAUCGCCUGUUUUGUAAUGUCUGGAAUAUAUUUACCUGUCUUCCACGAGCUCAAGCUUACGAGUACUUACGAGUACCUUGAAAGACGUUUCGAUAAAAAAAUUCGUACACUUGGAUCCGUGUUAUUUUCGAUCGCCAUCAUGACGUGGUUACCAAUCGUUAUUUAUGUACCAGCUUUGGCUUUUAAUCAAGUUACGGGAGUGAACGUGCACGUAGUUACCCCAUUCGUGUGCAUCGUGUGCAUCUUUUACACUUGCGUGGGUGGUUUGCGGGCGGUAGUGUGGACCGACUUCAUUCAAAUCUUUAUAAUGAUUGGAUCUAUGCUACUAAUCAUUAUCAAAGGGACAUCAGAUGUAGGUGGAUUGUCGCUGGUAAUAAGAAGGAACAUGGAGUCCGAAAGGCUCGAACUUCCCACGGCCGACUGGAGCCCUCUUACGAGACACACGAUUUGGUCUUUAGUGAUAGGUGGUAUGGUUCACUGGUUGCAGAUAUCUGCUAUCAAUCAAAACAUGAUUCAACGAUAUCUCGCAUUACCCACGUUACGAUCAGCCAGAAGAGCGCUGUGGACUUUCAUGAUUGGAGUAUUACUUUUACUUGGAAUAUGCGGAUAUGCGGGAAUGUUAAUAUAUGCUUGGUAUCAUGUGUGCGAUCCACUUACGACGAAGUUAGCCGGUGCGAAGGAUCAACUGUUACCUUUGCUCGUUAUGAAUAUAUUACGAGGAUACCCGGGUCUUCCUGGCCUUUUCGUUGCUGGAGUAUUUAGCGCAGCUUUGAGCUCACUGUCCACCGGUUUGAAUUCUAUGGCGGCGGUGGUGCUAGAGGACUUCAUAAAGCCCUUUAAAAAGACACCCUUCACUCCGAAAACCGCGGACAUUAUAUUAAAACUGACGGUCGUUGUUCUUGGUGUAAUGUGUGUAGCACUUGUGUUCGUUGUGGAGAAAACAGGAUCUCACGUGUUGCAAUUAUCCACGAAUUUGUCAUCGAUCACCAGUGGACCAUCUCUUGGUAUUUUCAGUAUGGGAGUUCUGUUACCUUGGAUCAAUGCUAAGGGUGCUCUGAUAGGUGGUCUUGCUGGCCUAGGAUUCAUGGGUUGGAUCAGUCUUUCGGCAGAAGCUGCGAUUGCUAGCGGAAGAAUAAAAUUCGACGAGAAACCAGUAACCACCGAAGGAUGUUACUACUCGUUUCCUCAAGUCGAGAAUUUAAUGCUUCUCGAGCCACCAGAUAAUAUCUUGGACAGCGAUGAUUUUCUUCCAGAACCUUUAGCAUUGUAUCGUCUGAGUUAUCUGUGGUACACGAUUACUGGUGCAUUAGUGACGAUGAGCGUUGGUCUCGCUGUAAGUCUCGUUUCGUCAGAAGACGUCGAAAAAGUAGACCCAAUGUUACUAGCUCCUUUUAUACGAAAAUUAUUAAAGAAAUCAUCUAAAGAAGGUCGACAAAUUGAGGUUGCAAACUUGGAACUUGGCCCUGAAGCACGCAGAACCGGAGAGGAGAACGUGGUCGAAAGCGUGUUACAUUAAUAUGACCUUGACUGGUGAUUGAUGUUGAUCAAAUCAAAGGUCAACAAACUGAACGGUUAAAGUGUUCAGUUGACAAGCUGAAAUAUUAAAUUAAGAGGGUCGAGCUUAAAAUAAGUUAGGUCAAUGAAGAAAAUAAAAUACAAAAUGACUGGAGACGGAUGUGAAAGAUUGUUCCAAAUAUCCAAACUCUGUAAACCUAGAGAUCUGAUUAUCUGAUUAAAGAUCUGAUUUUGCCCAGAAAGUUCUAGUUACGCCAAUGGAAUCAGAAUGUGAAGAACUUAUUUCUAAUAUAGCAGGAAUAGGAAGUGUCGGUUGUUGAAAGAAAUCAGUGCUGUUUUUUUACACUUGUCCACAAAUAUAAUGUAUUUCAUAUGUACGUUUUAACGUUAAAUAGGAAUAUACAAAGACAAUA
rnacentral:misc_RNA from 1 species